rnacentral:rRNA from 1 species
GAGUUUGAUCCUGGCUCAGAACGAACGCUGGCGGCGUGCCUAACACAUGCAAGUCGAACGUGAUCCAGAGCUUGCUCUGGUGAAAGUGGCGCACGGGUGAGUAACGCGUGGAUAACCUACCCUGGUAUCCGGGAUAACAUUCCGAAAGGGGUGCUAAUACCGGAUAAGCCCACGGGCUCUUUGGAGCUUGCGGGAAAAGGUGGCCUCUAUUUAUAAGCUACUGUAUCAGGAUGGGUCCGCGUACCAUUAGCUAGUUGGCGGUGUAACGGACCACCAAGGCGACGAUGGUUAGCUGGUCUGAGAGGAUGAUCAGCCACACUGGAACUGAGACACGGUCCAGACUCCUACGGGAGGCAGCAGUGGGGAAUUAUGCGCAAUGGGGGAAACCCUGACGCAGCAACGCCGCGUGAGUGAUGAAGGCCUUUGGGUCGUAAAGCUCUGUCAGAGGGGAAGAAAUGAUAUAGUGCUAAUACCACUUUAUCUUGACGGUACCCUCAAAGGAAGCACCGGCUAACUCCGUGCCAGCAGCCGCGGUAAUAC